ACUAAGCGUACACGGUGGAUGCCCUGGCAGUCAGAGGCGAUGAAGGACGUGCUAAUCUGCGAUAAGCGUCGGUAAGGUGAUAUGAACCGUUAUAACCGGCGAUUUCCGAAUGGGGAAACCCAGUGUGAUUCGUCACACUAUCAUUAACUGAAUCCAUAGGUUAAUGAGGCGAACCGGGGGAACUGAAACAUCUAAGUACCCCGAGGAAAAGAAAUCAACCGAGAUUCCCCCAGUAGCGGCGAGCGAACGGGGAGNCCAUCCUCCAAGGCUAAAUACUCCUGACUGACCGAUAGUGAACCAGUACCGUGAGGGAAAGGCGAAAAGAACCCCGGCGAGGGGAGUGAAAAAGAACCUGAAACCGUGUACGUACAAGCAGUGGGAGCACGCUUAGGCGUGUGACUGCGUACCUUUUGUAUAAUGGGUCAGCGACUUAUAUUCUGUAGCAAGGUUAACCGAAUAGGGGAGCCGAAGGGAAACCGAGUCUUAACUGGGCGUUAAGUUGCAGGGUAUAGACCCGAAACCCGGUGAUCUAGCCAUGGGCAGGUUGAAGGUUGGGUAACACUAACUGGAGGACCGAACCGACUAAUGUUGAAAAAUUAGCGGAUGACUUGUGGCUGGGGGUGAAAGGCCAAUCAAACCGGGAGAUAGCUGGUUCUCCCCGAAAGCUAUUUAGGUAGCGCCUCGUGAAUUCAUCUCCGGGGGUAGAGCACUGUUUCGGCAAGGGGGUCAUCCCGACUUACCAACCCGAUGCAAACUGCGAAUACCGGAGAAUGUUAUCACGGGAGACACACGGCGGGUGCUAACGUCCGUCGUGAAGAGGGAAACAACCCAGACCGCCAGCUAAGGUCCCAAAGUCAUGGUUAAGUGGGAAACGAUGUGGGAAGGCCCAGACAGCCAGGAUGUUGGCUUAGAAGCAGCCAUCAUUUAAAGAAAGCGUAAUAGCUCACUGGUCGAGUCGGCCUGCGCGGAAGAUGUAACGGGGCUAAACCAUGCACCGAAGCUGCGGCAGCGACGCUUAUGCGUUGUUGGGUAGGGGAGCGUUCUGUAAGCCUGCGAAGGUGUGCUGUGAGGCAUGCUGGAGGUAUCAGAAGUGCGAAUGCUGACAUAAGUAACGAUAAAGCGGGUGAAAAGCCCGCUCGCCGGAAGACCAAGGGUUCCUGUCCAACGUUAAUCGGGGCAGGGUGAGUCGACCCCUAAGGCGAGGCCGAAAGGCGUAGUCGAUGGGAAACAGGUUAAUAUUCCUGUACUUGGUGUUACUGCGAAGGGGGGACGGAGAAGGCUAUGUUGGCCGGGCGACGGUUGUCCCGGUUUAAGCGUGUAGGCUGGUUUUCCAGGCAAAUCCGGAAAAUCAAGGCUGAGGCGUGAUGACGAGGCACUACGGUGCUGAAGCAACAAAUGCCCUGCUUCCAGGAAAAGCCUCUAAGCAUCAGGUAACAUCAAAUCGUACCCCAAACCGACACAGGUGGUCAGGUAGAGAAUACCAAGGCGCUUGAGAGAACUCGGGUGAAGGAACUAGGCAAAAUGGUGCCGUAACUUCGGGAGAAGGCACGCUGAUAUGUAGGUGAAGUCCCUUGCGGAUGGAGCUGAAAUCAGUCGAAGAUACCAGCUGGCUGCAACUGUUUAUUAAAAACACAGCACUGUGCAAACACGAAAGUGGACGUAUACGGUGUGACGCCUGCCCGGUGCCGGAAGGUUAAUUGAUGGGGUCAGCGCAAGCGAAGCUCUUGAUCGAAGCCCCGGUAAACGGCGGCCGUAACUAUAACGGUCCUAAGGUAGCGAAAUUCCUUGUCGGGUAAGUUCCGACCUGCACGAAUGGCGUAAUGAUGGCCAGGCUGUCUCCACCCGAGACUCAGUGAAAUUGAACUCGCUGUGAAGAUGCAGUGUACCCGCGGCAAGACGGAAAGACCCCGUGAACCUUUACUAUAGCUUGACACUGAACAUUGAGCCUUGAUGUGUAGGAUAGGUGGGAGGCUUUGAAGUGUGGACGCCAGUCUGCAUGGAGCCGGCCUUGAAAUACCACCCUUUAAUGUUUGAUGUUCUAACGUGGACCCGUGAUCCGGGUUGCGGACAGUGUCUGGUGGGUAGUUUGACUGGGGCGGUCUCCUCCUAAAGAGUAACGGAGGAGCACGAAGGUUGGCUAAUCCUGGUCGGACAUCAGGAGGUUAGUGCAAUGGCAUAAGCCAGCUUGACUGCGAGCGUGACGGCGCGAGCAGGUGCGAAAGCAGGUCAUAGUGAUCCGGUGGUUCUGAAUGGAAGGGCCAUCGCUCAACGGAUAAAAGGUACUCCGGGGAUAACAGGCUGAUACCGCCCAAGAGUUCAUAUCGACGGCGGUGUUUGGCACCUCGAUGUCGGCUCAUCACAUCCUGGGGCUGAAGUAGGUCCCAAGGGUAUGGCUGUUCGCCAUUUAAAGUGGUACGCGAGCUGGGUUUAGAACGUCGUGAGACAGUUCGGUCCCUAUCUGCCGUGGGCGCUGGAGAACUGAGGGGGGCUGCUCCUAGUACGAGAGGACCGGAGUGGACGCAUCACUGGUGUUCGGGUUGUCAUGCCAAUGGCACUGCCCGGUAGCUAAAUGCGGAAGAGAUAAGUGCUGAAAGCAUCUAAGCACGAAACUUGCCCCGAGAUGAGUUCUCCCUGACCCUUUAAGGGUCCUGAAGGAACGUUGAAGACGACGACGUUGAUAGGCCGGGUGUGUAAGCGCAGCGAUGCGUUGAGCUAACCGGUACUAAUGAACCGUGAGGCUUAACC
rnacentral:rRNA from 1 species